CUGUGCUGCUGUGCAAAGCCUGGCUCAGCCCUGGCAGCUGGGCUGGCAGCUGCCCCCAGCCUGUGCUGGAGCAGUGGCUGAGCCCUGGCCACACUGGCCCAGAGUGGCCCUACUGGCUGGGCACAAGGGCUGAGCCGGGCCUGUCCUCAUCCCUGCCCUCCUCCUCCAGCCCCUGCACUCCCCUCCCUGCCCUGAGUGUUGCUGGAGCCUGAUCCAGCUGUGACUCUGAUCCAGCUGUGAGUGUAUCCCUGCUCCAGGUGUGAGUGUAUCUCUGAUCCAGCUGUGACUGCAGCCCUGCUCCAGGUGUGACUCUGAUCCAGCUGUGAGUGCAGCCAUGCUCCAGGUGUGGCUCUGAUCCAGCUGUGAGUGCAGCCCUGCUCCAAUCUGCAGCUGCUGCCUCAGGAGCAGUUCAUGGCUGAGUGGUGGAGUUGGCUCAGGCAUAACUCAGCCACACCAUUACAGCUCUGCUUGUUUUCCUCCUUCUGCCAUUUUGUUGGUUUAAAUAUCUGAGGUGUCCCCAGCUCAUGUGAAGCCUCUGCUCUCAGAGGGGGACAGGGCAGAACUGCUUUAGGGGAGACCUGGAGCACAGCAGGGCUUGCACCAAAGCUUGGCUGCAGAACUAGGGGAGUCAGGGUUUACCUGCUUGUUAAAAACUCAGCAGUGUCUGGUGUAAGAUCAGUUUCCUGCAGAUUUGUCCCUUCAGGAACAUGCAGGUUCUGUCCAGAUUCCAGGGAAUGGCAGAACAGCACCUGAGGGUGGUCCUCAGGAUGGAUACUUGUUUGUGCUGUUGUAAUUAUUGUUAAUUGGUUGUUAAUGUCAGUCCAGAUUUGUCCAGGAACUAAAAUUGCUCUGGGCUCUGCAGGGCCCUGGCACUUGGACAGCCAACCUGAGGUGCUUGUUCCCCUUCCUGCAGUCCUGAAUGCCAAUGUCCUCACAGCUGAUGUUUAUUCUUGGUUAUUUUUGUGAAUCCUUUGGGCUUUGUUUUAAUGAAAUGAGCUGAAGUUUAGGGUGGGAAGUGUCUGUGCUCACACACAGCAGUCAGAGGUGUCUCUGCACUGUUACCCACAGCCCUGACCAGAACACACCAGGCUGGGAAAUCUGUGUCUUUUUCCAGUCCCUGACCCACCUUAUCGAAGAUUUCCCUGGGAGAGAGGGAGCUGUGGGUGGCCCAGGUGCAGUGAUGCUGUGCUGUGCUGGGUUACCCAUGCAGAGCAGUCUCACUGUGCAGAGCUCACACAGGACAGGUUUGCUGAGGUUUGGCUGAACACUUUGCUUGGCCCCAGCUGUUGCCUCAAGGGUAGUUCUCAGGAAUGUCAUUUCUGUGUGCAUAAACUUUCCCUUUCUUUCCACUAGGCGUGAGAAGGUCAUAUUCCCCACCUUGGUCAUGGGUAAAUGAAUUCAUUUGCACUGGUUGGCUGCAUGUGGUGUAACCUGGGGCUUGGGGCAGAUCUGGGGGCUCUGGUAACUGCACGAGGUAGUUGGUAGUGCCACACACUAAUGGGCCCUGAUCAAAGCCUGAGGCUGCAAUUGCUCUUUCUCCUGACUUGGAAUAAACCUCUCUGCUGCUGUGACCUGUUGCAAACAUAAGCCUGAGUGCUGCUUGCUUCUUCAUCUGUUUAAUACUCCUAGUAAGUGCAUGUUCCUGAUUGAACCAGUCACAGCAGGGUUGCAGGGAAAGUGUGCCUUCAUGGAUGGAGUUCAUUUGGAAGGUUUGCCCUUUGGUUGUGUUUUCCUUCAGCAUUUUGUGGCUCUUGACUUGCUGAAGUGCAGUGGUGUGGUUGUGGCUGACAGGAAAGCAAACAAGGGCACAGGUGCCUGGGAGAUGGCCAGGGGUAGAGCAGGGAGGGGACAGUGUAGGUAGGGACAGCAGUGUCCCUGCUCAGUGUCACUGUCCCUGCCCAGCACAGCCAUGGCAGCUGGAAGCACCUGGGGUAGUUGCAGAGUUGGGCAGUUCCAGAGCUGGACAGUUCCAGCUCUCCAAGUGUGCUUUACCAGCUCCAUUUUCCCCCCAGGCCAGGCUGUUCAGCUCCAGAAGAAUCUUCCACUGAGGAUUUGUUGAGUACUUAGAGCUGAGGGAGUCUUGGGCAUGAAGUGCUGAGUACAAAAUACAGCUUGAAAUGCAGUUUAAUGAGUCCCAAUUAGUAAUCAGGGCACAGACAUGGAUGUGGACACAAAGCCCAUGGCACUGCAGGGACAUUUCCAGCAGGGAGUGCUGCUCCUGGCUCUGGCUGGAGCCUGGUUUCUUGGGAAUCCCAGCACAAGGGCAUGGCACAGGCACCACACAGUGUGCUGGGGUGGUCUGAGGGCCAGGGAAAGGGGGCAGGAGCAGGAGGGGGACCUGGCUGGAGUUAAUCACUGUGGGCAGGAGGCUCCAGACACCUCCCAGAGCUGCCCAAGUCUUUAGAAUUGGAG